CACUGUUGGACUUUGAGUGAGUGUUAUCUUAUGUCAUCUUAGAUGGACAUGGACAUAGGAGAGGUGGAGGACAGGGCCGUGCAGGUUGAGGAGGAGGAGGGGGGUGUGGAGGAGGUGGCCCUGCAGGUGGAGGAGUUGGCCCUGCAGGUGGAGGAGGUGGCCCUGCAGGUGGAGGAGGUUGCCCUGCAGGUGGCGGAGGUGGCCCUGCAGGUGGAGGAGGUGGAGGAGGGGGGCCCGCAGGUGGAUGAGGUGGCCCACCCGGACACGGAAGGACCAGCGGUCUCUACUGUGCAGAGGAAGAGGAGGAGCAAAGAGCUUCACAGCCAGAAGAAGGGGCUUGCAACACGGAAUAAAACUUUACCGAAGAAUUGCCCCUACCAUAUUGGUCGAGAUGCCUUUGAAAUAAGGAGUUACGUGAAGGAGAGGAUUAGAAAGGGCAUUAAAGAAGUCCUCGUCGAUUGGCAGCCUUGCCCAGUUUGAUGAGUACCCCCGGCCAGCCAUUCGGACUGGGUGUCAGGCUAGGGAAUUUAAAAACAGGCAUCCUUGGUUAGAGUGGAGGGAAAUAAAGUUAGGUAAAUGUCAGCCAACAUUUUUAAGGUGCAGUCAUUUCACACUUUUACACAAUUCAAUUACUGUAUGGUAUGUUAGAUAACAACAGUAAGAGCUAAAAUUAGAGCAAUUGAAAGAGUGAAACAUUAGACUCCUGUCAUCUCCUUCUCAUGCACUUGUUAGCCAUGGUUGUAAACAGUUCAUUAAAUUAUUUUGAGUAUUUUGUCCUUGUUUAGCAUGUGCUAUUGCUACUAUAGAUAUACAAAGGACAACUUGUCAUUUUUGUGUUCUAUUUGUUCAUAAUGUUAUUAAAACUGAUAAACCUAUUCAGCUUUCCAUGAUUGUUGAUAAUCGUUAUACUCUUAAAUCAGCGGGUUGUAG
ensembl:lncRNA